AUUGAACGCUGGCGGCAGGCCUAACACAUGCAAGUCGAGCGAGAAAGCCUUCGGGUGAGUAGAGCGGCGGACGGGUGAGUAAUGCAUGGGAAUCUGCCCAGUAGUGGGGGACAACAGUUGGAAACGACUGCUAAUACCGCAUACGCCCUACGGGGGAAAGUGGGGGACCUUCGGGCCUCACGCUACUGGAUGAGCCCAUGUCAGAUUAGCUAGUUGGUGGGGUAAAGGCCUACCAAGGCGACGAUCUGUAGCUGGUCUGAGAGGAUGAUCAGCCACACUGGGACUGAGACACGGCCCAGACUCCUACGGGAGGCAGCAGUGGGGAAUAUUGCACAAUGGGCGCAAGCCUGAUGCAGCCAUGCCGCGUGUGUGAAGAAGGCCCUAGGGUUGUAAAGCACUUUAAGCAGUGAGGAAAGGGUUAAGUUUAAUAGGCUUGAUCUGUGACGUUAACUGCAGAAUAAGCACCGGCUAACUCCG
rnacentral:rRNA from 1 species